rnacentral:rRNA from 1 species
UACGUAGGGACCGAGCGUUGUCCGGAAUCAUUGGGCGUAAAGAGCGUGUAGGCGGCUAUUUAAGUCCUGCGUGAAAUCCUGCGGCUCAACCGCAGACGGUCGUGGGAAACUGGAUGGCUAGAGUGCGGGAGAGGAGAGUGGAAUUCCCGGUGUAGCGGUGAAAUGCGCAGAUAUCGGGAAGGACACCCGUGGCGAAGGCGGCUCUCUGGAACGCAACUGACGCUGAGACGCGAAAGCGUGGGGAGCAAACAGG